rnacentral:sRNA from 1 species
UACUAUAGUAACUGCCGAAGACAGUAGGUGCCGUAAGGCAUAAGUUGAGAACGCCUACCGAGGAGAUAUGAAUUCUAACAUUGAAUUUACGCAAUCUCUUUGUCUGAGGACGAAGAGAUUUUUUUAUUA